rnacentral:rRNA from 1 species
GACGAACCGAGCGAACGUUAUUCGGAAUCACUGGGCUUAAAGGGCGCGUAGGCGGGCCGUCAAGUCGAGGGUGAAAUCCCCCAGCUCAACUGGGGAAGUGCCUCCGAUACUGGCGGCCUCGAGGGGGAUAGGGGCAUGCGGAACUUCCGGUGGAGCGGUGAAAUGCGCAGAUAUCAGGAGGAACACCGGUGGCGAAGGCGGAUCUCUGGGCCAUUACUGACGCUGAGGAGCGAAAGCGUGGGGAGCGAACAGG